GCCACGGGCGGCUGCAUCUGGCCUACACAGACAGUGCAGCCACCACAGUAAAGUUCUUGCAAAGACCAUCUUGCUAAUUCAUACAGAGUGCUGCAGCAAUCGCAUUGUCAGACAUUCUACAAAAACUGGCCCAAAGACGGACAGAAGGCAGCACAGAUGGACACGCAGAAGCGGUUGGGCUGCCUCAUAAACUGUAACUGAGCAUUAACCUACAUACAGAAAUGAGCCAAGCCGAGCUGUUCAUGGGCCUUGCACACAGUUUCAUAAGCGGGCUUUGAGAACUUUUGACAAUUAUGUUUCUCAAUAUAUCUGCCAAAGUUGUGUUCAAAGAAGCAUGUAGUAGAACAUUUCAUUGUUCAUUUGGCAUGCUGCAGCAGGUAUGACUCGCACAUCUGCAAGAUAACGCAGCACAGUGCAUACACACAAACUACCCCCACAUAC